AACGAACGCUGGCGGCAUGCCUAACACAUGCCAGUCGAACGAGACCUUCGGGUCUAGUGGCGCACGGGUGCGUAACGCGUGGGAACCUGCCCUUAGGUUCGGAAUAACUCCCCGAAAGGGGUGCUAAUACCGGAUAAUGUCUUCGGGCCAAAGAUUUAUCGCCUUUGGAUGGGCCCGCGUUGGAUUAGCUAGUUGGUAGGGUAAAAGCCUACCAAGGCGACGAUCCAUAGCUGGUCUGAGAGGAUGAUCAGCCACACUGGGACUGAGACACGGCCCAGACUCCUACGGGAGGCAGCAGUGGGGAAUAUUGGACAAUGGGCGAAAGCCUGAUCCAGCAAUGCCGCGUGAGUGAUGAAGGCCUUAGGGUUGUAAAGCUCUUUUACCCGGGAUGAUAAUGACAGUACCGGGAGAAUAAGCUCCGGCUAACUCCGUG
rnacentral:rRNA from 1 species